GAGUUUGAUCAUGGCUCAGAUUGAACGCUGGCGGCAGGCCUAACACAUGCAAGUCGAGCGGAUGAAGGGAGCUUGCUCCUGGAUUCAGCGGCGGACGGGUGAGUAAUGCCUAGGAAUCUGCCUGGUAGUGGGGGAUAACGUCCGGAAACGGGCGCUAAUACCGCAUACGUCCUGAGGGAGAAAGUGGGGGAUCUUCGGACCUCACGCUAUCAGACGAGCCUAGGUCGGAUUAGCUAGUUGGUGGGGUAAAGGCCUACCAAGGCGACGAUCCGUAACUGGUCUGAGAGGAUGAUCAGUCACACUGGAACUGAGACACGGUCCAGACUCCUACGGGAGGCAGCAGUGGGGAAUAUUGGACAAUGGGCGAAAGCCUGAUCCAGCCAUGCCGCGUGUGUGAAGAAGGUCUUCGGAUUGUAAAGCACUUUAAGUUGGGAGGAAGGGCAGUAAGUUAAUACCUUGCUGUUUUGACGUUACCAACAGAAUAAGCACCGGCUAACUUCGUGCCAGCCGCCGCCGU
rnacentral:rRNA from 1 species